rnacentral:rRNA from 1 species
GAUGAACGCUUUCUUCUUUCCUAAUACAUGCAAGUCGAGCGAACGGACGAGAAGCUUGCUUCUCUGAUGUUAGCGGCGGACGGGUGAGUAACACGUGGAUAACCUACCUAUAAGACUGGGAUAACUUCGGGAAACCGGAGCUAAUACCGGAUGAUAUUUUGAACCGCAUGGUUCAAAAGUGAAAGACGGUCUUGCUGUCACUUAUAGAUGGAUCCGCGCUGCAUUAGCUAGUUGGUAAGGUAACGGCUUACCAAGGCAACGAUGCAUAGCCGACCUGAGAGGGUGAUCGGCCACACUGGAACUGAGACACGGUCCAGACUCCUACGGGAGGCAGCAGUAGGGAAUCUUCCGCAAUGGGCGAAAGCCUGACGGAGCAACGCCGCGUGAGUGAUGAAGGUCUUCGGAUCGUAAAACUCUGUUAUUAGGGAAGAACAUAUGUGUAAGUAACUGUGCACAUCUUGACGGUACCUAAUCAGAAAGCCAAGGCUAACUACGUG